CUGGCGGCGUGCCUAAUACAUGCAAGUCGAACGGUCUUUCUAUGGAAGCUUGCUUCCACUGAGAAGAUAGUGGCGAACGGGGUGAGUAACACGUGGGUAACCUGCCCAUAAGAGGGGGGAUAACAUCCGGAAACGGGUGCUAAUACCGCAUAGUUUUCUUGAUCGCAUGAUCGGGAAAGGAAAGACGGCCUUUGUGCUGUCGCUUAUGGAUGGACCCGCGGCGUAUUAGUUAGUUGGUGAGGUAACGGCUCACCAAGACGAUGAUACGUAGCCGACCUGAGAGGGUGAUCGGCCACAUUGGGACUGAGACACGGCCCAAACUCCUACGGGAGGCAGCAGUAGGGAAUCUUCCGCAAUGGACGAAAGUCUGACGGAGCAACGCCGCGUGAGUGAAGAAAAGGGUUUUCGGAUCGUAAAACUCUGUUGUCAGAGAAGAACAAGUUGGAGAGUAACUGCUCCAGCCUUGACGGUAUCUGACCAGAAAGCCACGGCUAACUACGUGCCAGCCGCAGC
rnacentral:rRNA from 1 species